GGCUCGGCCCACACGGUGCUGGGCCCGUACUGGGCCAAGGAGUUGGGCAUCAACAAACUUCACUGCCGCCAAUGUUCUCCCCGCGGGGGCGAUCUGCAGGUCACGGUGCGCACCGACGGUCGAGUUGACAUCACGGGAGCGGCCGUCACGGUUGUCACGGGCACCUUCACCGUGCCCGUCACGGGUGCUCACUGACCGUCACGGUUGUCACGGGUACCUUCACCGUGCCCGUCACGGGUGCUCACUGACCGUCACGGUUGUCACGGGCACCUUCACCGUGCCCGUCACGGGUGCUCACUGACCGUCACGGUCGUCACGGGCACCUUCACCGUGCCUGUCACGGGUGCCCACUGACCGUCACGGUUGUCACGGGCAACUUCACCGUGCCCCUCACGGGUGCCCACUGACCGUCACGGUCGUCACGGUCACCUUCACCGUGCUUGUCACGGGUGCCCACUGACCGUCACGGUUGUCACGUGCCUCUCACUGACUAAUUAAAAGUUGUCGUAAAUCAAUCUGAAGGGAGUGUCUCAACGAAGAAUUUAACGACAUCCAAAUGCGAAAGAAUUUCCAUUAUCGUCAUUCAACUUAGUAAAAUGAAGUGUCAUCUUAUGUUAUUUUCCUUGAAGUUGGCAGUGAUAACAGGCGACUUGCUGCCAAAAUUUGCAUCCAAUAAAGUUCUUUCAAUUA